CUCACGCCGGCGACGAGCGCGAGGGGCGGAGCCUGCCCGGCGUGAGCGGGGGACGCGUGGUGUGAUUGCCCGGGAGAGAGGCCGGCGCUCCAGUUCCGGGUCAGGCCCUUCUCCCGCCUCCCUCGGCCUCCGCCAUGGCGAGCAGCAGCGGCCCCGGGGCGGCGGCGGCAGCGGCGGCGAACCUCAACGCGGUGAGGGAGACCAUGGACGUUCUGUUGGAAAUUUCAAGAAUUCUGAAUACUGGCUUAGAUAUGGAAACUUUGUCUAUUUGUGUACGGCUUUGUGAACAAGGAAUUAACCCAGAAGCUUUAUCGUCGGUUAUUAAGGAACUUCGCAAGGCCACUGAAGCACUAAAGCAGUGAUAUGUACUGCUACUAUGGUUAGUAGUUUACUGCUAAGGAAACUGAAGCUUAUGGUGGCCAGCUUCUCCCAAGGACUUACUGAGACGUAGUUGAGCUGAGAUUUAAACUUGGACUCUGGCUUCAGGUUUUUAACUGCUGCUGAAAAUACGACAAGCUGACUUUCUGGAGAAAUCCUGAUGAGAUAUGUCAAGCUCUUCAAGAGGAUUUGAAGAUUGCAUUGUAGUCAAGAAUGUACAAUGAAAUUACUGCAUGCAGCAGUGUAGAAACAUUUUCCUUUUUAAAAGAAUUAUAAAACCAUAGCUUUAUAAAUCAGUGGAAAAUGGCUUACAGAGAGAACUAUCAGAUGUGUUUACAUCACAUCUUACUUUUUUUUUAACAGCUCUAAUGCAUUGGCAUUGCUGUAUUCAUAUUUAUGUAUUCCUUAUUUAUAGCUCUGAUAGCUUUAAUUUUCUAAGCAGUCUGUCUAUCAGAUGUGCACAUCUGCUGUGCCUGGUUGAAGUAUAGUGGAACCCAUCAGAAGUAAUGUAGUAGUUAUGACUUGUUGACAUUUCCAUUAUAAAAUUUAAUUUUGAAUUGUUUAUGCAAAAUAACCAUAGAUUUGUGUUGUAUUGGGCUAAAAGUUGACAGAAUUUCAGCCACCAUUUAUGAAUUUUGAUUUAGACUUACAACAUAUCAGAAUCUGUUAUAAGAGCACAGAAAUUUGAAAUGAUUUGUUCUAAUCUGCUCUUCUUUAACACAGAAUAUUUAGUUUUUUAAACAUAAAAGUUUCUCUGUCACUUAGCAGUACGAACCAGAUUGUUUUUGCAUUAAUUAAAAAAUAAAACUUAGAAACUUAGAUUUAAAAGUGGUAGUGCUUAGUAUUGUCAUUUGAAUGAAUCAUUUAAAUUUAAUGAAAAUAUUGACCAUAUUUUUCUGAGUUUUAUACUCUACAUAUGACAACCUAAAAAAAAAAAAAAAACACAUAAUGAAACAUUUCUGACAUGCAAAAUUCUUUGAAGUUUAUUACAUAAAAAUAGUUUGAGUGCUUAUCUAAUAAAUCCCUAAAUAGGAAAUCUCUUUCAACAAAUACGAUAUUUUCUGAAGGAAUAAAUUUCCAGCCAUUAAACAAAAGCUAAAUAAUCAAGUGUUCUGUAUCAAGAAUUAUAAGUAUUCCUUUCUAAGGUCACUUUGUCAUUAUUUUUUCCCUGAAAGUUUUAACUAAUCAAAGUGGUGGUUCCAAGUAAAUUUUAGAAAAUGUAGGAUAGUGUUAAUUCUGUUUUUGUAGCAGAAUCUUAUUGGAAUAUUUUUCCCAAGGCCGAUAGGAUUUUAAUCUGAUUUUAUUUUAGAUUUUGUUAGCUUCCAUUUAAAUGAUAGUAUAAGCAUUUACUCUUUAGCAGCAUUUUUUUGUUCUUCAGACAAAGUAACACUAAUAUUCAAGUGACAACCUUCUGCACUAUUAUAAAAAUCUAGUUUUAAUUAUUUUGACUGUAAGCACCUAGAAUCUUUACCAAGGACACUAGAAAGGUGUAUUAUUGGCAGACUUGGUUGGGAAACAAUAACGACUUGUGAUAAGUCAUUUAUUUGAUAGUAAACACUGCAGAUCCUGCAUGUUGUCACUCAUAAAAUCAUAAAGACAACAUUUUUGUCAAGCUCCAAAAUCGGUAUAUACUCUUAGGUCACAAGAGUUAAUAGUUUUAUUUAUGGUUUUGUAGAUUAAGUUAUUUAUGUUUGAUACAGAGCAGGAAAAUAUAUUGAGAAGGUAUAUGGUUACAGAGAACUUCUUUAAGUGUUACAUUUAAAUGUAAACAUAUAUUUUUAAUGCAUACUUAAGUACUAUUUAACAAAAUCAAAACAAAUUGUAAUGAUACAAUUGGCAGUGUUAUGCAUGUUGUCAGUGACAGAAAUAAAACCAUUUUGGUGAUACCGGCA